GAUGAACGCUGGCGGCGUGCCUAAUACAUGCCAGUCGAGCGAACAGACGAGGAGCUUGCUCCUCUGACGUUAGCGGCGGACGGGUGAGUAACACGUGGAUAACCUACCUAUAAGACUGGGAUAACUUCGGGAAACCGGAGCUAAUACCGGAUAACAUGUUGAACCGCAUGGUUCAACAGUGAAAGACGGUCUUGCUGUCACUUAUAGUUGGAUCCGCGCCGCAUUAGCUAGUUGGUAAGGUAACGGCUUACCAAGGCAACGAUGCGUAGCCGACCUGAGAGGGUGAUCGGCCACACUGGAACUGAGACACGGUCAAGACUCCUACGGGAGGCAGCAGUAGGGAAUCUUCCGAAAGGGGCGAAAGCCUGACGGAGCAACGCCGCGGGAGUGAAGAAGGUCUUCGGAUCGUAAAACUCUGUUAUUAGGGAAGAACAAAUGUGUAAGUAACUAUGCACGUCCUGACGGUACCUAAUCAGAAAGCCACGGCUAACUACGUG
rnacentral:rRNA from 1 species